rnacentral:rRNA from 1 species
AUACGGAGGAUCCGAGCGUUAUCCGGAUUUAUUGGGUUUAAAGGGAGCGUAGGUGGACAGUUAAGUCAGUUGUGAAAGUUUGCGGCUCAACCGUAAAAUUGCAGUUGAUACUGGCUGUCUUGAGUACAGUAGAGGUGGGCGGAAUUCGUGGUGUAGCGGUGAAAUGCUUAGAUAUCACGAAGAACUCCGAUUACGAAGGCAGCUCACUGGACUGCAACUGACACUGAUGCUCGAAAGUGUGGGUAUCAAACAGGAUUAGAUACCCUGGUAGUCCACACAGUAAACGAUGAAUACUCGCUGUUUGCGAUAUACAGUAAGCGGCCAAGCGAAAGCAUUAAGUAUUCCACCUGGGGAGUACGCCGGCAACGGUGAAACUCAAAGGAAUUGACGGGG